rnacentral:rRNA from 1 species
UAGCGAGACUGCCAGGGAUAACCUGGAGGAAGGUGGGGAUGACGUAAAAUCAUCAUGCCCCUUAUGCUUAGGGCUACACACGUGCUACAAUGGGUAGUACAGAGGGUUGCCAAGCCGUAAGGUGGAGCUAAUCCCUUAAAGCUACUCUCAGUUCGGAUUGUAGGCUGAAACUCGCCUACAUGAAGCUGGAGUUACUAGUAAUCGCAGAUCAGAAUGCUGCGGUGAAUGCGUUCCCGGGUCUUGUACACACCGCCCGUCACACCACGGGAGUUGGAGACGCCCGAAGCCGAUUAUCUAACCUUUUGGAAGAAGUCGUCGAAGGUGGAAUCAAUAACUGGGGUGAAGUCGUAACAAGGUAGCCGUAUCGGAAGGUGCGGCUGGAUCACCUCCUU